GCCUGUGCCACAGGGGUCCAUACCCAAAUACCGCCAGAAGAGAGCUGGUCUCCCAGAAGUGCCGACACACCUGUGAGCACAGGUAAGACCACCACUUCUCUUCAAAUUCCUGGCCCAAGACGGAACCUCCCAGUGCCAUCAGAACACAGGAACCAAGGAACAGCUGGGGACAGGAUCCUUCUGGUUUUUGUCUGCAGCCCAGAGCUGAUCCUUUACCACAGCUCUCCAUACCUAAAUACUUCCCAGAAAGAACUGGUCUCCCAGAAGUACUAA
rnacentral:lncRNA from 1 species